GAAAAGUCAUGUGUUUUUUGCCCUUAAAUUCUUGAUUCAGUCUUAGUUUUCUUCUGCCCAUGUGUCAUCCUGGAAGUUGAUUACUUUUAACCUUCUGUUCUGUCAUAUUCCUUUUUACCUGAAUCAUUUGUUUUCCUUUGUUUUACUAUUUACUACACAUACACUGGAAAUGCAUGCCCACAGUAGCUUCUUGAGAAGAGAGUGCAUGAGGAUUACAGUUUUUGAAACCAUGCCUUUCUAAAAAUUUGUAUUUUGCUAUCACAUUUGUUUGGGCACCAAAGUUUAGACUGGGAACGAUUUAUUUUCUAUAGCAAAGAUAAAGCCCUCUGCUGAAAUAGGAGCAAGGUAACCAUCUGCCUGUUUGGGGUUAUUAUACAAAAUGGGAUAGAAAGUGGCCGUAUACUUCUUAUAUAGACUUUAAAACAAAUUCUUGUUUAUUAAGAAUCUGAUGCCUUUGGUUUCUGAACUUCUUCAGAGUUCUGUAAAUUGGCUUAUUUCUUUUAGUGGGAUUUCAUUGAUGAUUGGAGAUAAAUGUGUG
rnacentral:lncRNA from 1 species